AACGAACGCUGGCGGCAGGCUUAACACAUGCAAGUCGAGCGCCCCGCAAGGGGAGCGGCAGACGGGUGAGUAACGCGUGGGAAUCUACCCAUCUCUACGGAAUAACGCAUGGAAACGUGUGCUAAUACCGUAUACGUCCUUCGGGAGAAAGAUUUAUCGGAGAUGGAUGAGCCCGCGUUGGAUUAGCUAGUUGGUGGGGUAAAGGCCUACCAAGGCGACGAUCCAUAGCUGGUCUGAGAGGAUGAUCAGCCACACUGGGACUGAGACACGGCCCCGAAUCCUCCGGGAGGCAGCAGUGGGGAAUAUUGGACAAUGGGCGCAAGCCUGAUCCAGCCAUGCCGCGUGAGUGAUGAAGGCCCUAGGGUUGUAAAGCUCUUUCACCGGUGAAGAUAAUGACGGUAACCGGAGAAGAAGCCCCGGCUAACUUCGUGCCAGCCGCCGCUGUAAAAC
rnacentral:rRNA from 1 species